AGCGUACACGGUGGAUGCCCUGGCAGUCAGAGGCGAUGAAGGACGUGCUAAUCUGCGAUAAGCGUCGGUAAGGUGAUAUGAACCGUUAUAACCGGCGAUUUCCGAAUGGGGAAACCCAGUGUGAUUCGUCACACUAUCAUUAACUGAAUCCAUAGGUUAAUGAGGCGAACCGGGGGAACUGAAACAUCUAAGUACCCCGAGGAAAAGAAAUCAACCGAGAUUCCCCCAGUAGCGGCGAGCGAACGGGGAGCAGCCCAGAGCCUGAAUCAGUGUGUGUGUUAGUGGAAGCGUCUGGAAAGGCGCGCGAUACAGGGUGACAGCCCCGUACACAAAAAUGCACAUACUGUGAGCUCGAUGAGUAGGGCGGGACACGUGGUAUCCUGUCUGAAUAUGGGGGGACCAUCCUCCAAGGCUAAAUACUCCUGACUGACCGAUAGUGAACCAGUACCGUGAGGGAAAGGCGAAAAGAACCCCGGCGAGGGGAGUGAAAAAGAACCUGAAACCGUGUACGUACAAGCAGUGGGAGCACAGAGCAAUCUGUGUGACUGCGUACCUUUUGUAUAAUGGGUCAGCGACUUAUAUUCUGUAGCAAGGUUAACCGAAUAGGGGAGCCGAAGGGAAACCGAGUCUUAACUGGGCGUUAAGUUGCAGGGUAUAGACCCGAAACCCGGUGAUCUAGCCAUGGGCAGGUUGAAGGUUGGGUAACACUAACUGGAGGACCGAACCGACUAAUGUUGAAAAAUUAGCGGAUGACUUGUGGCUGGGGGUGAAAGGCCAAUCAAACCGGGAGAUAGCUGGUUCUCCCCGAAAGCUAUUUAGGUAGCGCCUCGUGAAUUCAUCUCCGGGGGUAGAGCACUGUUUCGGCAAGGGGGUCAUCCCGACUUACCAACCCGAUGCAAACUGCGAAUACCGGAGAAUGUUAUCACGGGAGACACACGGCGGGUGCUAACGUCCGUCGUGAAGAGGGAAACAACCCAGACCGCCAGCUAAGGUCCCAAAGUCAUGGUUAAGUGGGAAACGAUGUGGGAAGGCCCAGACAGCCAGGAUGUUGGCUUAGAAGCAGCCAUCAUUUAAAGAAAGCGUAAUAGCUCACUGGUCGAGUCGGCCUGCGCGGAAGAUGUAACGGGGCUAAACCAUGCACCGAAGCUGCGGCAGCGACGCUUAUGCGUUGUUGGGUAGGGGAGCGUUCUGUAAGCCUGCGAAGGUGUGCUGUGAGGCAUGCUGGAGGUAUCAGAAGUGCGAAUGCUGACAUAAGUAACGAUAAAGCGGGUGAAAAGCCCGCUCGCCGGAAGACCAAGGGUUCCUGUCCAACGUUAAUCGGGGCAGGGUGAGUCGACCCCUAAGGCGAGGCCGAAAGGCGUAGUCGAUGGGAAACAGGUUAAUAUUCCUGUACUUGGUGUUACUGCGAAGGGGGGACGGAGAAGGCUAUGUUGGCCGGGCGACGGUUGUCCCGGUUUAAGCGUGUAGGCUGGUUUUCCAGGCAAAUCCGGAAAAUCAAGGCUGAGGCGUGAUGACGAGGCACUACGGUGCUGAAGCAACAAAUGCCCUGCUUCCAGGAAAAGCCUCUAAGCAUCAGGUAACAUCAAAUCGUACCCCAAACCGACACAGGUGGUCAGGUAGAGAAUACCAAGGCGCUUGAGAGAACUCGGGUGAAGGAACUAGGCAAAAUGGUGCCGUAACUUCGGGAGAAGGCACGCUGAUAUGUAGGUGAAGUCCCUCGCGGAUGGAGCUGAAAUCAGUCGAAGAUACCAGCUGGCUGCAACUGUUUAUUAAAAACACAGCACUGUGCAAACACGAAAGUGGACGUAUACGGUGUGACGCCUGCCCGGUGCCGGAAGGUUAAUUGAUGGGGUCAGCGCAAGCGAAGCUCUUGAUCGAAGCCCCGGUAAACGGCGGCCGUAACUAUAACGGUCCUAAGGUAGCGAAAUUCCUUGUCGGGUAAGUUCCGACCUGCACGAAUGGCGUAAUGAUGGCCAGGCUGUCUCCACCCGAGACUCAGUGAAAUUGAACUCGCUGUGAAGAUGCAGUGUACCCGCGGCAAGACGGAAAGACCCCGUGAACCUUUACUAUAGCUUGACACUGAACAUUGAGCCUUGAUGUGUAG
rnacentral:rRNA from 1 species